GUUUUCCUCUGAGGCUUCGGACAGCUGCCACAUCGUCAUGAAUUUACGGCAGCCGGCGAGGAAAAACUGAGCUUCCGAUCAAGUUCAGGUUCGGAGUCGCGCUUCGAGCGUUUCAUUCAGGCGGAUCAAUCGAUCAAUCGAUACAUUGCUCCAGCCUCGGCCCGUCGUCUGUCCGUUAGCAGACACAAUGCAGACAAUGUGAGGCUGUUGAGAGUCAGCCAGUGUUCAUGUCAGCGGGCCGCCCCGCUCACACAAAGAGGACCAGACCUCGUCCAGCAUCCUCCGCCUCCCAUUAGAGCUGUAAGUGGCCUUUGUUUUGACAGGCGCAAAGUGCGAUCAGAAAACAUGGUCACCCGGUGCAUUGUGGGACAUGUGAUAUCGACGGAGCUGGCCUGGGACGAGGCUGACGGAGGUCAGAGGGCUCGCAGCGAAAGUCGGAGACUUGACUCGAUCUCACAGUGAAGGAGCAGCGAGAAUAAGUACUUUCUUAAGUUCACUAAAGAUUCGGAGCUGCAGAAGACUGAAUCAUUUAAAUGUCUUACUGCUCAAGGUAGUCAGUGCAGCAGCAGUUUGUUUGAAGACAUGAAGGCAGGAGGAUGAUGAGAAGGCUUCUUCCCCUUCUCUGCCUCUCCUUUGAUGGAAUAAAAUCUGGCAGCCUCUUUUAGGAGCCCAAAUCCACAAGACUGGAGGUUAGAGGUCCCAACAAGGAGUCCUGCAGUUGGUGCGGGUGUCCGUGCAUGCUGUGCACCGGCUGUGGGGCCCCC